UGGGGAAUAUUGUACAAUGGGCGCAAGCCUGAUGCAGCCAUGCCGCGUGUAUGAAGAAGGCCUUCGGGUUGUAAAGUACUUUCAGUCGGGAGGAAGGUGGUAAGGUUAAUAACCUUAUCAAUUGACGUUACCGACAGAAGAAGCACCGGCUAACUCCGUGCCAGCAGCCGCGGUAAUACGGAGGGUGCAAGCGUUAAUCGGAAUUACUGGGCGUAAAGCGCACGCAGGCGGUUGAUUGAGUCAGAUGUGAAAUCCCCGGGCUUAACCCGGGAAUUGCAUCUGAUACUGGUCAGCUAGAGUCUUGUAGAGGGGGGUAGAAUUCCAUGUGUAGCGGUGAAAUGCGUAGAGAUGUGGAGGAAUACCGGUGGCGAAGGCGGCCCCCUGGACAAAGACUGACGCUCAGGUGCGAAAGCGUGGGGAGCAAACAGG
rnacentral:rRNA from 1 species